CAGGUGCUGCAUGGCUGUCGUCAGCUCGUGUCGUGAGAUGUUGGGUUAAGUCCCGCAACGAGCGCAACCCUUGCCUUUAGUUGCCAGCAGUUCGGCUGGGCACUCUAAAGGGACUGCCGGUGUUAAACCGGAGGAAGUGGGGAUGACGUCAAGUCCUCAUGGCCUUUAUGACCAGGGCUACACACGUACUACAAUGGCCGAUACAAAGGGCAGCGACACUGCGAGGUGAAGCCAAUCCCGUAAAAUCGGUCUCAGUCCGGAUUGGAGUCUGCAACUCGACUCCAUGAAGUUGGAAUCGCUAGUAAUCGUGGAUCAGCAUGCCACGGUGAAUACGUUCCCGGGCCUU
rnacentral:rRNA from 1 species